GAGGGCAUAGCUCAGUUGGCAGAGCGGCAGUUUGUGGCACUGUAGGUCGUGGGUUCGAACCCCAUUGUUCUCC
rnacentral:tRNA from 1 species